rnacentral:rRNA from 1 species
GAGGAAUAUUGGGCAGUGCCCGCUAGGGUGACCCAGCAACGCCGCGUGGAGGAUGAAUGUCGUAAGAUUGUAAACUCCUGUUAGAGGGGAAGAAUAGUACCGGUUGGACCGGUAUAUGACUGUACCCUCAGAGAAAGCCCCGGCUAACUACGUGCCAGCAGCCGCGGUAAUACGUAGGGGGCAAGCGUUGUCCGGAUUUACUGGGUGUAAAGGGCGCGCAGGCGGGAUAAAAAGUCAGUGGUGAAAUCCUACAGCUUAACUGUAGAACUGCCUUUGAUACUUUUAUUCUUGAGUUCGGGAGAGAGAGACGGAAUUCCAGGUGUAGUGGUGAAAUACGUAGAUAUCUGGAAGAACACCAGUUGCGAAGGCGGUCUCUUGGUCCGACACUGACGCUGAGGCGCGAAAGCGUGGGGAGCAAACA